rnacentral:tRNA from 1 species
UGGGGUAUCGCCAAGCGGUAAGGCACCGGUUCUGAUACCGGCAUUCCCUGGUUCGAAUCCAGGUACCCCAGCCA